GCACAGCCUAGUAAGACUUGGUCCCUUGCUAGCCAUGUGUCACCUUUAAACCCUUCAAAUGUAGCUGAAGGGAACUUUGAAUUUUAAUAUUAAUAUUAGUUGAAGUUUCAGUGGCCAGUGCCACUCAUACAGAAUAGUACAACUUUAGAAUCUUAGUUUUUGUUGAACAGACACACCUGCUGUAGUAAAAGUACAACAUACUUUUUUUUUUUUUUUUUUUCCUGGAAAGGCAAAUAAGAGACAAGACUAUCCUUUAGCCUGAAAUGAGGGUAAGCAAAUCAUAUGCCUAAAACUGACACGAUUUACCCAUUUAUAUUUGCCGAUUUUUAUGUGAAAGUUGAUUUGAAAGUUCAGAAAAUCGUAGGAUCAGAAAUAAGUUUAGAUGUGUUUCACAAGGCAUUAAAAGCAGCAAGGUAGCUGGUAGGUAUGCCCACAAGGCUCUUACCUUCCUGUCUGACUGCUAUGCAUACUCUCUCAGCACAGCUUCUGAAGUGUUUUCUUAUUAAAGAUUUAAAGGCAGACAGCUUUUGAGUGCAGUAUUGUAGCUCUCCAGUGCUGGUUAUGAUGGUUCCCAUCUCAUUAGGUCGUAUGUAGGGUUUCUGUUCCAGGUAUCAGCUAAGAACAAGGAUGGUUUUGCAGUUCAUAAAGAAUACCAUUUUUAAUAAUAUUAUCCUUUGGAAGGCUGUUUUUCUCUGUCCCCUUUGCAUCAUGUUUUAAAAAGUAAUUUGGUAAAAGAUUUCUUUUACUCACUCAGGAAUAUAUAUGUCUCUCCCUGUGUCAUGUGCUUGUACAUCAAAAUUUAAACUUAAGAAACUCAAGGAUAGCAUUGAUUCUAGUGUAUUGAUCAGUGUCCCCAGCAGAAUUGCAAAUUAUUUUGUGAUUGGAAAGAAAAUAGAAAUUUGACUACAUAAAACUCAGAUUUGACUGUGAAGAUCCACAUGUUGAGUCAUCUUUUAAAAAUGUUGUCUAGUUAUAAUAAAUAGGUCUAAUCAAACAGCCAUUUUAUUAAACAUAUUUAUUAGAUUUUUAGUUCACAGACAGGGAAUUGUUGGAAUUAUUUAGUUAAUGCUUCUUAGAGAGGCGGGGAGGGGAGAGAGAGAGCGAGUGUGCGCACGCGCAAGCAGGCAAGAGCACUAGCUGUCAGAAGGUAUAGAGCCCUGUAUGUAACACAGCAGUGUCUGUUCUGGCUAUGGCUAUAUCAAGUCACUUGUCCCAUUGUUGUAAUUCUUUUGAGUGUCAGGUUAUAUGCUAAGGGCCCAGUGAGCUGUGAUACAUGGUAGGGAAGAGUGUUUAACUGAAAAUGAUACGAGAAUUUGACUAAUACUGAUUUGGGGAUUUGAUGUUUUGAAAAUGCUGUUUCGACUUAUUUUUGUUUAUUUGCAUUAAUUUUUAAAAGACAGCCUCUCUGUAUAUCUCUGCCAUUCUCUACUUGAUGCUAUAUCAAGUGUGUGCCACUGUGCCUUGCUUGCUUUUGGGUAACCUUUCUCCAAGAAUGCAAAAUCUAGAUAUCUGCAUGUAUAUUGAAAUUAUGUGGCUCUCUCCUGCCCUCCUCUCCCUCUUCAUCUUCCUCUCCUGCGUCUGGCAAGGUUUCAGAGAUUCCAUAUUGGCCCCAAACUUGCUGAGUUGAGUGGAGUAUGACCUCCCCCUUGCUUUUACCUUCGAAGAGCUGAAAUUACAUGUUUGUGCAAACAUACUUGGUUUCAGGCAGUGCUGAGGAUUGAACUUUCUUGGGACUUUCUUGCAUGUUAGGUAAGCACUCUACCAACUGAGCAGCUGCACCCUAGCCCACUAUAAGGUCUUGAAGAAUUGACGGAAUUGAAAUCUAACAGGAUUGGCAGAUCCUGUGCUUUGAAUGUUUGUAGUUUUCCUUGCUUCAGGCUUGUUCCCACACUGCUGCCUCUGCCUCACAUAUGUUCCCAUGUUAACAUGGUGCUGCUAUAUGACCACUUACGUAAGCUGUACACAAGUACACUCUCCACUCUUACCUGCUCUGUAUCUGUGUGCAGUGUUUCAAACUAGCAGGGCUCUUCCCUGGUGUUUGUAUUAAACUAAGCUUUGUUGCUGCCUUUAUUAGUGUGGUUAUGACAGUUAUUUCUAGCUUACAAUUUAAGUGUAUCAGAUAUUGCAGACAUUGGCAGCAUAACUGGAUUUCUCACAAAGUAAAGAAAGUUGCUUUCUCAGUUUUCAGAGUGCCGUAGAGUUGCAAAGUAUUUCUGAGAAUGUAUAAUCUAACCUCAUUAUCUUAUGAGUAGUGACAUGGGAUCCUAGGCAUAUUAGUAUUUUUGAAUCCUUAGUACUGAUCUGUGAAGUUUUAAAUUCUCAUUUUACAGUACAGUUCUGCCUCCUUAGCCUUUGUAGGUUUAGGGUCCUGAAAACUCACAUAGGAAUUUUUUUUAAUAGGGUGUUGGGGACUAGAGAGAUGGUUUAGCAGCUAAGAGCCUUUGCUGCUCUUCCAGAGGGUAUGGGUUCUAUUCUCAGUUCCCAUGUAGUAGCUCACAAUCUGUAACUCCAGUCCCAGGGUAUCUGACACCACUUCUUGGCCUGUGUGGUCACUAGAUGUUCAUUUGAUGCACAGGCAUACAUGCAUGCAAAACACCCAUACACAUAAAAUAUAUUAAUAAAAAAAGAGGGGAAAUGUGGGGAUGAGGAGUGCCUUGAAAUGAAUAGCUACAUAACAUUUAUGUUUUCUUAACAUUUUAAAUGAGCAUUAUCUAUUAGAUACCACUGAGAUUUUAAACUGAUGUUAUUCCACUUCCAUCUCCCCAAUUGCCCUGAUAUUGCCCGUUAUUUUCAUCUUUCAUGGACCAUGUGUCCUUUUGUCUCCCCUUUCUUACUGUCUAAUAUUAUCCCCUCUUGUUCUCCUUAGAUUUUUUAGACUUUGCCCACAUGUAUUCCUGUUUACAUACGUACAUAUAUACAUUAUAGGCUAAGAUCUGCAUAUGAGGGACAGCAUACAUUUUUGUUUUUCUCAAUUCAGGACACCUCACUAAAUAUUAUACUUUACAGAUCUAUCCAUAUUCUUGCAAGUUUCAUGAUUUCAUAUUUCUUUACAGAUGAGUAAUAGACUGUUGUGUAUAUGUACCAUAUUUUUAUUAUUCAUUCAUCUGUUGUUAGACAUUUAGGCUGGUUCUAUUUCCUUGCUGUUGUGAACAUAGCAGCAAUAAACAUGGGUGCACAAAGUCUCUCUGGUAGGUUAUGGACUACUUUGGGUAUAUAUUUAGGAAUGGUAUAGUUGGGUCAUAUGGUAGUUCUAUUUUAAAUUGUUUGAGGAACCUCUACACUGAUUUCCAUACUUGGUGUAUUAAUUUGAACUCCUACCAACAGUGAGUAAAGAUUCCUCUCUCCUCAUACCCUCUCCAACACUUGUCAGAUUUUAAAAAUACUAUUUAAAAUAAAAUGAUAAAGAUGUUAUCACUGAGGCUGUACUAUUUUGAUGGUUUUUAUUCUAUCUUCUCUUUAAGAAACAUGGGCAGCCAGUGAUUUAACUUUGGAACCCUGCAUUCUUAGACGCUGCAGUAUUCCACGCUUCUGUGCUCUAGCAUCGUGAUGCCCAUUAUUACGUAUGAAACAUAAGCCCUGCCUCAGCUAAAGUUCAAGUUCAGGAUUAUCUCUUACUAGAUUCAGCCUGCCCAGUGUUGGGCUGUGAAGCCCCGCCCCUUUGUAAUCUGUUACCUUUUUUUGUUUCCUUCUGAAACUUUUGUCUUUUCUAACAUGAUAGACAGCCCUGAGUCAUAAUUGUGUGUCCUCCAAUCUCUAGUAUUUUGGGAGUUUCAGAAGGCCAUUGACUUUAUGGAUAGGAUAGCUCCCCAUAGUUGGAAAGCCUGUACAGGGUGCUGGUAUGGUGUCUACAGCAAACCCAUGGAGUCUAAGCUCUGCCGCUUACUUCCUGUGUGAUCCUCCCUCUGCUUCACUUUUCCCAUCUAAAGUGGAAGUAAUGUCUGUGUCCUAUGGUGGGUUUGAAAAGCAUGUGAGUUAAUUGGUUUGAAGAGCCUGGGAGCAGUACCUGCCAUUGAAAUCAUGUUAUGUAUUGGAUAUUAUAAAGAUUCAGGGAAAAAUCACUGGUAAUCUUUCUAGUUAAAAGUUUAAUACUGCUUUUUAUUUAAGCAUUCCUACCACCCUUUUAAGCAGGAAUUUCUGAUGAUACUCUGCAAAGCUUUUUAUGCUGGAAUGGGAGGAUCUUAGAAUUUGUUCUCAAGGUUCAUUGGGUAAAUAUAUAUCAUAGGGACAUAAUAUACCCACAAACACCUGUAUAUAGAUAAUUGUUCUGCUACAGUAUAACUUGUGGAAAGUAUCAUAAGACAGGGGCUAUGGGAGCUCAAGGGAAUAAAAAGGAGAGUUGGAGAGGUGGUCAGGACACAGUGGGACUGGGUAGGCAGGUAUGCAGGAUUUGGGUACAUGGAGACUGGUGAAGAGGUGGAAAUGUCAGAGGUACAGACCUGAGUCCUAGGGCACCCACUGGAGUUUCCAGGCUCUGUGACCUAAGACAGUGAACUGCAUCAGGGACAUAUGGUUAGAAAUAUAAAUACAGAUGGUAUGUUAAGAAUAGAAAACCCAACCAGGCGGUGGUGGCGCAUGCCUUUAAUCCUAGCACUAGGGAGGCAGAGGCAGGUGGAUUUCUGAGUUUGAGGUCAGCCUGGUCUACAAAGUGAGUUCCAGAACAACCAGAGCUAUACAGAGAAACCCUGACUCG
rnacentral:lncRNA from 1 species